GAGCUAAAUGGCCAACCUAGAUUUAUAUUAUCUUCUAAUUCUAUUUUUCCACGAACUUUUUGAAGUGCCUUCAUAGGGGUUUAAGCCAAUGUAGUAGAACUGGGGAUGGAGAGAAGUGAAUAAGUUCUAGACAUACUUGGGAAAUAUAAUUGAAAGGACUUGUGGAUUGAUAAAGAUGUAUUUCAGAGGUAAAGUCAGUGGGGCUUAUUGAUUGAAGGCGGGGUGAAAGAAAUGGAAGUCGUGGAUACCACAUGUUUCUGGCUUGAGCAGAAGAAGCAUAGUAUUAACGUUUACCAACAAGAAACAAGAAAUGGAGUAGUUUGGGGGUGGAAAGGAGGAGCUGAAAUGUUGAGUAUCACACAUCUCACAUUUGAGGUAUCAAUCACUACUGGAUAGAAAGUCUGAUUUAGUGAGAUGGAGAUGGCUGUAGAUGUCAGUUAUCUGUUCCAGGGGGACGAUAAGUAAAGUGAGAAGAGCAAAAGACUAAGGAUGGAGCAAUGAAGAACACCAGCAUCCCAUGCAGAAGCAGAGAAAGAAGUACAUGAAAGAAAAAGACAAGAGUGGUCAGAGAAUUUAAGCCCUGGAAGCUAUGGAAGGAGAGGGAGUGGGCAACUAUGAAGGAAAGGCCAUAGAGCAAAGACUGAGACAUGUGCACUGGAUGAAGCAGCAGGGAGGCCAUUGUUCCUCAGUGUUACAGGAGGAAAGAGUAAAAGGUGAGAGCAGAGGUACCAUUGCAAUGAAAUGAGCAAAUAUUAAGUAAAAUAGUGCACACAGUCAGUGUAGAGAACCCUUUGGAAAAGCCUGGUUGAAAAGAGCAAGAAGAGAUUGGUGUGC